rnacentral:lncRNA from 1 species
CUUUUUAUCUAGACUGUGUCUUUAAAGUGGUGGAAAUGACCAAUUCUGUGUCUUAGGAGGGAGGUGGCAUGAAGCCGGGAAAUGACUGAGGAAGGGAUACUGAUAUGAAAUGAUUUAUUUCUGGAAAAUGCUCUUGUCCCUGGUUCCCUUCACGCCCCCACCCCCAGCCUCAGCUCUGUCUGGGUGGAACGAAUGUCUGCUAAUGAACUAAACAAACAGGUCUCUUAAUCUUAUCAUGGAGCUGACCCAGAGACUGGCACAGAUAUCCAAAGUAUCAUAAUUGGCAGGUCAGAAUUAAAACUACAUACAUCAUGGUGACUUUAUAGCUGAGGCAAAGUGGAGCUCAAGUGUUACUUUCCCAGUAAGCAAAUCAUAAUGAAGUAUCAUGCUGGUGACUAAUUUAACUAACAUUGUCCAGGAAAUUGCUGUUGUCCAGGAAGAGAAGAGUUGAGCCGAGUGUCAACUACUA